GUCAGUGUGGCAUAGCGAUUUGGGCAUUGGACUAUGACUCUGGAGACCAGGGUUCAAUUCCCUGCUCAGCCA
rnacentral:tRNA from 1 species